AAGUCGUAACAAGGUUUCCGUAGGUGAACCUGCGGAAGGAUCAUUAACGAAUUUUGGUCGAGUGUGGGUAAGAGUCUUCUCUUACCAGCUCGGCUGAUUUCCCGCCCUUGGUUAUACAUUACUGUUGCUUUGGUAGGGUUUCACAGCCCUGCCAAAGGUAUCAAAACUCUUGGUUAAAACUUUUGUUAUCAAGGAUGAAUAAUCCUCUUAAGAAUAUACCAAAACUUUCAACAACGGAUCUCUUGGUUCCG
rnacentral:misc_RNA from 1 species